rnacentral:rRNA from 1 species
CCUACGGGGGGCAGCAGUAGGGAAUCUUCCACAAUGGGCGAAAGCCUGAUGGAGCAACGCCGCGUGGGUGAAGAAGGUCUUCGGAUCGUAAAACCCUGUUGUUAGAGAAGAAAGUGCGUGAGAGUAACUGUUCACGUUUCGACGGUAUCUAACCAGAAAGCCACGGCUAACUACGUGCCAGCAGCCGCGGUAAUACGUAGGUGGCAAGCGUUAUCCGGAUUUAUUGGGCGUAAAGGGAACGCAGGCGGUCUUUUAAGUCUGAUGUGAAAGCCUUCGGCUUAACCGGAGUAGUGCAUUGGAAACUGGGAGACGUGAGUGUAGAAGAGGAGAGUGGAACUCCAUGUGUAGCGGUGAAAUGCGGAGAUAUAUGGAAGAACACCAGUGGCGAAAGCGGCUCUCUGGUCUGUAACUGACGCUGAGGUUCGAAAGCGUGGGUAGCAAACAGGAUUAGAUACCCUUGUAGUC